rnacentral:rRNA from 1 species
GACGAACGCUGGCGGCGUGCUUAACACAUGCAAGUCGAACGAUGAAGCAAAGAAUCGAAGCUUCGGCAGAAAUUCAUUUCGGAUUAGUGGCAGACGGGUGAGUAACGCGUGAGCAACCUACCUCUUACAAAGGGAUAGCCUCGGGAAACCGGGAUUAAUACCAUAUAACAUUGCGACGAAGCAUUUCGAUGCAAUCAAAGCUACGGCGGUAAGAGAUGGGCUCGCGUCCCAUUAACCGGAUGGUGAGGUAACGGCUCACCAUAGUGACGAUGGGUAACCGGCCUGAGAGGGUGAACGGUCACACUGGAACUGAGACACGGUCCAGACUCCUACGGGAGGCAGCAGUGGGGAAUAUUGCACAAUGGAGGGAACUCUGAUGCAGCGACGCCGCGUGAGUGAUGAAGGAAUUCGUUUCGUAAAACUCUGCUCUAUGGGAAGAAAAGGACUGUACCAUAGGAGAAAGCUCCGGCUAAAUACGUG